GUGCAGGCCUUCCGUGCAAUGAAGGAUAUAGGAAUUUGUGAGGAGAAAGUGAAACCAGUGUUGAAGAGACUUCUAAUUUUAUAUGAUAGAAAUUGGGAGCCAAUUGAAUCUGAAAACUAUAGAGUUCUUGCUGAUGCCAUCUUUGAUGAGGAGGAUAGUAAGGUUCCAGAACCUAAAAAAGACGAGAAAUGCAUCGAUGGAGAUAUUGGAGAUGAUUCAGUACUUGAUGACCUGUAAGACCCUUAAAAAGAUUGAGAAAACUAGGUGAGGCUUCU